CAGGAAGGUUGCAGGGGGCGGACGAGGAGAUGGACAUGCAGAGGGGGACGGACAGGGGGACGGACAGGAUUGACAUACUUAAAGACGGAGAGAGUGACGAGGCUCAGAGGAGAACACACACACACACACACACACCAUGUGGCCAGGCUUUUCAUGGCUGCUCCAGUGGGGGGGGGGGGGGGGGGGGGGGGGCGGGGAGGGGAACGGCCCCUCAGCAGAUGGAAUAUUCAUCACGCCUGGCGUUGGAUCCGCCUCGCAGCCCACUGGCAGCCAGACGGCCCGGGACGGAUCUGGGCUGCACAACAAUCACACAACACGCACAACGAGUGAAUUGGGACGCCCCUCUUGUGCCCACGACGGUUAUGAAGGCCUCGAUGCCAACCCGUCAGUCGCCAGCAGCGCCGCGGGGCCCCCCGCCGCCCCCCAGCCAGGGACAAGACGAGACGAGCCACUGAUGACUACAAGACGUGGCUGCCGGGUCCACGCUUCAGGCCCGUCGAGGGGGGUGGGCGGAGCUUUGUCGUUUUUACCGACCGCCGCGGCCCAUCCGAGCCCCCGUGGGCGUCGCCGCCGGCCGCUACGGUCGCCUGUCAGCCCGCUGCGAGUGUUCAUUUGUGCAGGCUCGAGGCGGGAAAAAGAUGUCAACUUGUCUGGUAACAGAACAACAAAAGUGACCCACUAAAGUCAACAGACGCACACAAAACACCCGGCGAGCCGCUGGAAGUUUCCCCCCCAAGCGGACGCCAUCGGUGCCGCCAGGCGUGAAAUAACGGCUCCGCUACUCAAAAUUGGAAAACUUUUAAAGCCACAAUUCUUAGUAAAGCAGAGAUGAGCAUGUAUAUAAAAAAAGAAACGUCCCCUUUGUGAUGUGAAGGACGUCAGGCGGACGUUUCGUAACCUCGAGGCCAAACUCCCGCUGACGUUUGUUCUUUGGAGCAUUGUUAGUCGGGGAGGAGAUGAGAGCGCUUUCAUUAAAGCGUCCGUCCCCGCCGACUCGCCAGACAUCCAUUAACGCCGUCCUGUAACUCUCCAAGUCCGCCGCCUCCUCCUCUUCUGCACGGAUCCCAUCCCUCUGUCGCCCCGUCGCCCUACUCAAAGGCCUCUGAACGGAGACCCAGCCUUGGUACAGUCUCAGCCGGCGGAAUACAAAAAGGUCGACACGGCCGGCGGGGCAAGUGACCCCAAAAAAAUACUUCCCCAAAAAGAAUGUGCUCUGAGCCGACCCGUUUAACACCCGCAGAACGUCGACCCGGUGACUUCCUGCUCGCCACAGCGUUCAUUUAGUUCAUGUUAACGCUUCGACGUGAACUUUCCCCUUCGCUAAAAGGGGGCUUCAAAUAGCCGCUAAGCUGCCGGAGAGUUAAAGCCGGGAUCCUUUUGUUCGACGAGCAUCGAGCCCUUUUGGAGAUAACUUCCACGGGAUGUUAGGACUUAAGGAUGAAGCAGCGGCGUUCAGCCGAGAGACACAAUUCCCAUGUAAUGAUUUCCUCCUCCUCCGGAAUGCGAUUCAAACAAAAGAGUUUAGUGAUCCGUUUCCCAGUGUUAAGAUAAGACGAGCCGUUUAACCGGGUGGCUAACGGCUCUUGUAACUAGAGCUCAUCUGCAGCCAGACGGCAUCUUGCCGCUGCUGCAGCCCUCCCUCCUCCCUCCUCCCUCCUUAAUUCCUUUCUUCUCAGUCCUCCAGGGCUGCGUGCCGGCGCCGGCGGCCCUGGUCAGCCAAAUCAGACCAAUUUGAGGGGCUCGUUCGGGGCUGUUGGAGGCGCUCAGGUGCUCCGCUGGGGCGCUAAAUCUCCGUUAACGCCGGAGCCUGCUGCUCUCGUCACAUUAAUAUGCCCUAUUCACCCCCCGCCCCGCCCUGCCCCAUUGUUACCGAGGUGAUAGCGUCCGGGGGUCUCUCGUCUUCUCCUUGUUUUCCCCCUCUCCUUCCUCUCUACCACCCACAGAAAUGGAGCACGAUCCGGCCCGAGGAGCGCUGGAUGGCGGGCGCGUUAUCCAUCAUCCUGUCCCUGCUUUUAAUUCAAAGCACACGCCUCCGAGGGGACUUGGCCUGAAUAAGCCACGUUUGCGUUGUGAUGUUGAGGUCGGCCCAUCUACCUAUAGCACGCAUUGAGGGCCCGUGAUUGGCGGAGGUCCGGCUCCUCAAACAUCUGUCCGGGCGCAGAGGACACAGCGAGCAGGACGUGCGACUCCCCGCAGGUUUUUUUUUUUUUUUUUUUACAAUACUGUAAAAUCAAUACACAAGAUGAAAACGAUGAGAACACAAUAUCUGUAAGAGCUCCUCCUGCGGUGCAUCCGUGUGCACAUUGUAUGUGAGCGUGGGCUGGUGUGCAUAAUGCAGCACACGCUGCGUUUAAAUGUGAGGCCCAGCGAGCACACGCAGACGUGUCCACGCGUUUUCAUGAAUAUUUUAUUUGCGUUUUUUUAGCACGUGUGUUCGAGGUAGAAUCCAAGGCUCCCUGUUCUCCCAGGCGGGAUGAUCUGGGGUGAGAGGGGGGGAGCGGGGGGGGUUACAAUGGAGGAGCAGAGGUAUCGGGUACAAGCCAACAAGGCCGCUUCACCACCGACGGGCCGCAAACUGUCACGUUGUGAACUUUCACCUCAAAUGUUCUACUUAAUCUGGUUUUGAACUAUAUUCCCAUUGAGCGCUAGAGCUGCUACGGACUUUGUUUCAGCCUUUGAACUAAUCUAAUAAAGGCUUCACUGCUCAGACGGGAAACACACGACGCCACAUGGAAACACGCGCGUGGACACGUCACAUGUCUACUGAACAUAAGUGACGCGAAACUGUUCUUUUACGUGUGCGGAUUUGCAUCUGCUGCUGCUCCUUCAUUACGCUGGUGCAGGAGGUCCAUUCACCAGCGCUCUGACUAACGCAGUGAAGUGCCGCCGUGACUAAUCCGACCCGGGGGGGUGAACACUCGCCGCUCUUAUCUCCCGCCUUCGGUGCAGACACGAGUACACGCUUUAAGGAUAGUAAUCUGUUCCUUUUCUGACAUCCUGAUUUAGGAUAAAGGAAGGUUGAGGAAUUGGGCUCUGCCGUCCUCAGGCAUUUUAUUUCCGACCUGAUCUGCAGGCUUUUAUUGGCUCCCAUGUAUAGAAAAACCACUCAUCUUCUCACAGCUCUGCGUGGACAGCUGUGAUUGUCACGCUGGGAGAAAAACUAAAAAGAACUGUCAGUUUUCUUUGAAAUGGGGAUUUACUUUUCAAUUACAGCUGAUGGCCACCAGCAAUCAUGCAGAUUGCUUAUACACAUAUAUAUAUAUAUAUAUAUAUAUAUAUAUAUAUAUAUAUAUACAGUACAUGGACAUGGACUACUUUCAAAUACAAAGAAAGAAGGAGCAGGCUUUUGAGUUGGAACAUGAGAUAUUACAGCUCUCAUGUUGUCAGGAAGCAACAGUUUGAUGUGAUGAUUGCUGCUGUCGCACCGAGGCUGAGUGCAGGCCGGCCGCUCUGCUGACUGCUGCAACGCAUAUCUGAAAGCUCAAGUGGCUUCAAAUGAGAACAUUUUAGGAAUAUUUUGCCUUUUUUUCGCCACGCCAGCUCCUCUGCUGGAGGGACGUUCGUGUCCCUUUUGGUCCACGCAGACGUUUUUUGACCACUGCUUGAUGGAUUGAUAUUUAGUGCAGACAUUCAUGGUACCCAGAGGAUGAAUCCCGCUGGCAUUAAGCAUCCCAGACUUCUUCCUCUACGACAACCACUAGGUCAGAAAAAUGGGCUUUAGUGUAACAUCUUAGAUGUAUUUCCUCUUCUGCCACCAGGAGGGUCAACUGUUUUCACUGUUUUGUUGUGAAUUUUUUACUUACAAUAUAUCUGCGUGGCAUGUGGUAGCAUGCAGGUGGUAGCAUGCAGGUGGUGGCAUGCAGGUGGUGGCAUGCAGGUGGUGGAAUGCAGGUGGUAGCAUGCAGGUGGUAGCAUGCAUGUGCUAGCAUUUAGCACGAAGCAUCAGGUGUCCAGUGCAGGCUGGCGUCUCUGUGGGUGGUCUGGAUCCACAUCGUACAUAGUGGUUUGUUGCUGGUUGUAAACACCAUAACAUCUGUUUAGGGUGAAGAUGGACGGGAGACCGGAUUUCUUUUCUGUAGAAACAUGUAUGUGAAAAUUCUAAUUGAAAAUCUUCAUUUCUGUCAGAUUUUAAUCAACUGAAAGAAAUGGGAGGAAAAAAAACACCUUCAGGGUGCUGAAUUUGAAACAUGGAUUAUAUGAUUUUAUGAGCAUCAGGUGUCUACAGAGGUCAUAUAUGUAUAGAAAUAGGCUUUGGUUGUUGAUACGCACCAGUUUAUUUGGGAUUAUCAUGCUACUGUUGAAAAAGCACGGACAAUUAAUACGCCCGUAAAAAAAAAGGGACGAGUGAUUCACUUUUUUAAAUUCUCGCUGCAGCACACUGGAAGGGAUUAGUGCACUGUGAGCCUUAUUUUAAGGGUGUGAUUACAUUUUCAAGGGCGAAAAUCACAUUAUGAGAAGUGAGUCGGGGAAAAGCCUCGUCCCCCGCGUGCCCGGCGCCGGGGCGACACCACUGUGGAUGUUUCUGAGGCCCUCGGCUAUGCAGAGAUUUGAGGUAUUUGUCAGGGAAGGUUUAUCGGCGGUGAAACACCUGGCCGAUCACACACCUCCCCGCCCGCUGCAUUCAGGCAUUUUUAUUUGUUAUCUCUUCCUGAGAUCCUGCGGUGAAAAAGCCUCCGUUAUGUAAAACCCAACAGCCCGGACAUUUCCGUGGCCACACACCAUCCAUCGGCGUGUCCUCGCACCCGUCCAUCCAAACCAAUUCAUCCAUAUUAGGUCCUCUCGCUCCUCUGAUCUGAUGCCCGGAAAUAAUCAGCCAGCCCUCAAAGGAAGAGCAGGCUCUUUUAUCUCAAUCAGCCAUUCUCCACUUCACUAUCGCCCAUCUCUGGACUUCCUGCGCAAAAUUUCAUCCCAUUUAUUUUCGCCCACCUGCCGACCCGCGCUCCAAUCCGCCGGAUCCCUUUGAUGAGGCGAGAAACCUGUAUUUCCAAAACAAUAUGUAAUUUCCUGGUUAGUCGAGGCGGAAUGUGCUGUGCAGCAGCCCGCUGACUGUUUAUGCAUUUUGGUCAGUGACCGCACGGCUCAGGACGGGGUGACAAACAAACCACGCGUGAAAUCAGCUGCUGCCUGGGUUUUUUUGGGGGGAGUCUUCUUCGCUAAGAUGUUUUAUUUGGUGGGUUUGAGGUCAAGUAUCUGAUUGCUGGGCGUAAGAGUAUCUGAAUAAAUCAUUGCAUUCUUUUCCUCCGCUAUCCCUGCGAUCACACCGAUUGUGUUUCAUGGUAAUGCAAAACUACCAUUACUGCCUUUUGGUGAUGUCGGAAAUAUCAUCACUUCAUCAUUGCGUCUUGGGGGGAGAUUUUUGUGACAUUCUCAUAGCCGAUGAAUUCUCACCCAAAAAGCUUCAACCGGCAGAAUCAGGUCCUUCUCGAGUCGUUUACGCCCAAUUAAGAAAUGGCCGACGUGUGUUGUUGACUAGUUUGUCCAGUUUGUCCAAACACAUCCUGGACCAAACAACACGCAAGGAUAAGUUGUGGUAGGACAGGGUUUGGUUGGGGGGGUGGUGGGGUGGCUGUUGGCUAAGGAGAGUGGUCGAUACUCUACAAACCGUAUUUAGUUGUCUGAUUCCCAGGCUGGGAGACACGGGGACAUCGUACCUCUGAGAGUUUCGGGCAGAUAAUUGGGACCUUUUCCCAGGUGAUUACCAUUCAGGGGGAGUCAGGAUCAAAGCGGGGGCGCCCUGCCAGCCGAGGAGAGGGCGCACGUCUGCCUUCCUUUCAGAGACAACGCUCCGCCGGACGGCCCACGGUCACAAAGAUUGCACGAGGAUUCGUGAUAUGAGGCCAAUUUCAGUCCUGCAGCAGGAUGGAUUUAUCGACCGGCUGAGGGGUAGGAACUCAUCACCAUGUGGUCACGGCGAUCACUACAACGCACAACAGACAGGUGACACAACUGAGUCUUUGAGACUAUGAAGAAGUAGUUCCUCAAAGUCUCUCUGGCUUGUAAAAAGCAGAUUUUGAAAGUCGGUUUUCCUUAAAGAAAUGAGUGAACAUCUGUGCAGGUUCAUCACGUCCCUGGAGAUGAAGAUAAAGUCGUUGUUGAUGUGCAGGCGAUGACGCAUAUGUUGCAGUGAGUCUUGUCAUUUAUAGAACCGUGUUGUUCUCUGAUGUUCUCUGUAGGUGUGAGGAAGUGUCUCGUUCUUAUCACUCUACAUACGGCCGCGUCUGACUCCUUUAACACUAAUGUGAAAAGUGCUGUUAGAGACAAAUUAUUACAUCAUUGAGUUUAUUGAGAUUCUGACUGCAAAUGAUAUUUACUUUAUAUCAUCUGGCAAAUAAGACUUCAUUUUGCAUUUUUUUUAUGCCGGCACAAAUGAAUGAGUUGAAGUUGUCCCCAGGAUGUUCAUAGAUAUCUCCCAGAAUUCAUUAAUUAAUCCCAACUUCCCUUUUGUAGCCGGCGCUCGCAGCAACGUCACUUAUGGAAAUAACAGCGAAACGGUUUUCCAACCCAGAGCCGUUCUGCCCUUUUCAACUUGUCAAAUCAUAUUUUAUAUCCUCUUCAGAAACGUUGAAAGUAAAUCCGCAAUAUCACCUUCCUGGCCUCAUCAUGAAAUGUGGCGAGCGCCCUCCAUGCGGUGGAGGUUCUCUCCAUGCGGUGGAGGUUCUCUCUAUGGGGUGGAGGUUCUCUCUAUGGGGUGGAGGUUCUCUCCAUGGGGUGGAGGUUCUCUCCAUGGGGUGGAGGUUCUCUCUAUGGGGUGGAGGUUCUCUCCAUGGGGUGGAGGUUCUCUCCAUGGGGUGGAGGUUCUCUCUAUGGGGUGGAGGUUCCCUCCAUGGGGUGGAGGUUCCCUCCAUGCGGUGGAGGUUCUCUCUAUGGGGUGGAGGUUCUCUCUAUGCGGUGGAGGUUCUCACUACAGUGUUGUUAUAUACCCAGUGGACCGGGACAUAUUCUUGUGCGUAUAUCGAACUAAAAGCACGUUUUGUGAGCAUCAUACAUGUGGGACUUUACAGGACUUUACAAUCAAACUGAGAUCAGAGUGAAAUCCCUCCACAAAUGAGUGAUUUUGAGGGACGGAAACAGGGACGUGCUGUCGAGACGCUGCAGCACGAGACGCUUUUGUCUGCUUGAUGUGACUUAUUCAAGUACACAUUGUUCCCUGGAAAGAGACACCGCCGCCCAAAUUACCGAUUACACUUCUGGUGAUUUACGGAUUCCGUAGAACUCGACCGACCUUUCAGAGCGGCACGGGAGCAACAACACCACGUGGUGUCACCGGCUUCCAGGGAUCCGUCCUGCCCGCCCAGUGCUCCAUGGUGUUAUAUCCAUCUAUUUAUGGCGAUGGAGUUGAAUGGAUGUUUCCACAGCAACACAGAAUCGUUUUGGAGAGCGGAUUAGGAUCUAGUCUCAGUUCACAUCUCAGGAAGUAAAAAAGUGGGAUCGGAGUAGUUUUGGUGGGGAAAUGAGGAGGAAUCCAGCCUGACUGAGAUAGUGAGUAAAUAAGCGAGUUGGUCCGCUGGUGACUGAAGUGGAAGGAUUACCCAGCGGCAGAGAUGAGUAGAGCGCCCUGAUGAAUGAAUGAAUGAAUGAAUGAAUGACCCCCGGUCCUGGACGUCCGGCUGGGAGACGAACGAAGAGCCAGAGCUGGAAUCAAUAACGUGACUGAUGUUCUCGCCCAUUGAACCUCAGCAGUCCCACUCGCAGAGUUGUGCUCGCUCGGCCUCACAGAUUCAGGCUUUCAUUGAGAGUUGAACCUCCUCCUCACAGCCACGUUUGGAUGGAGGGUUUGUGUGCUCUGCCGUUAUAUAAGCUUGACCCUCUCACAAGAAUAAAUAUAUAAUAUGAAUUUCAUAAAUAAUAAAAUAUCACCCUCGUUCUUCAGUUCUGGCAUGUUGGAAUCAGCAUCAUCUAACCCUAAAGUAUUAAUGGAGACUGGCUGCAUGCAGAGUUGUCCGGUACGUCCCUCUGCACCGAGCCGACACCAGCUUCAGCGAUCCGUCUGUGUGAAAUAUGAAGCUCCCUUUAAUCUUUAAUGCAUGUAUUCAUCCGUGCAUAUGUGUGUCGCAUGUGUCCGGGCGGCUUGUGUGCAUCUGCAGAGCAUCGUCUCCGCUCCGCACCAAAUAUCAUCACUUCAAGCUAGGAAUACUAAACGGUGAUCAUGUGCGGAGGAGCAUUUGAAUUGCAAAGAGGAAGGAAUUAUAAAUUAGAAGUGACAGUGACACUGACUGCGGACGGCUUUAAUGCUGAAACAUUUGGAUUUGUAAUUACGUCCCUCUUUGCAAUUCAAAUCGUGUCCGCCUGCGCAGUCUGUGGCUUUCUGCGACCUUUUGAGCGCCGAGACCCAUUAAAGUCUGUUCCUGGACUCCACGCUCGGGCUGUUUGCACCGCUGUGAGUCCAGAGGAGUGAAGUCUGAUACUCUUCAGCACAUUGAAGCCUGGCUCGCAAGCAGCUUAUUGAUUAUACACCUCGUAGCAACAAAUUGAAGCCAACCUAGCACGGCCUGCUAGCACUGAUCCCUCUCACCGGAACCUGCACCCGACGGGGACCUGGACCGCUGGAGGUCAUGUGCCUCUGUAUGUUGAAUGUGUUGAAAGCUCUCAGGUCGAAAAAUACAAAUGCCGCUAUAGAGAGAAGACAGUUUCUGCCCCUUAACUAAAAGAUAAAUGAUGGCAAAUCCAUUUUUUCCCCAUUAGGAAUUAGGAGGAGGCCUGCGUGGCACACUUGUUAGCUGUAGCGUCUUGUGGAGCUAGUGCUGCUAACCACUUUGGCAGUUGGGGCAAAGUUGACUUUUAACACCCAGCUGACUUUCUGGUUUCUUGUAUCUGACCGACUCGACAUUCAACAAUGGAUCACAUGACGACAUUUAAUUUCAAAAGGGUCGUCAGAAGGGGCAUGAAUGAGCCCGCAGAGCCUCUUUGGGCUGCACAUUGGCUCGGUGGCAGUCGGCUGUCGUAGCAAAAAGCUGCUAAAAAGGAUUCAAUGCUAGCUGCCCACCUCGCAUCUAGCUGUGAGGAAAUACAAUACCUACAAUUAAAAGUACUUUCUCAGGCGAGACCAAACCACAGCUAAAGGAGAAUAUAAUGCAGAUGAUGCUCCAUACCGAUAUGGAUACUAUAUUUUAUUUGUAUUUGCUCCACAACUGAAAACACUGAUACAUUUAGAACUACGACUUUGUGAUCGGCUCACCUCCAAUGUGAGUUAAGAUUUAAUGAAGCAGUUGUUUAUUUUGUGCAAAUGUCCUCGCCGAGCCGACUCCGUCCUGAAGAAACUAAACAGACGGAGGAUUUCUGAAAGAUAAAUGGUUUACCGGCUUUAAGACAGAAACUGAGGAUAACGCAUGAGUGCGCAUGAUGCCAUUUAUCAUUGUUUACAAGACACGUCCUCCCCCCAAAUCAAGAUCUGAUAAGUCGGUCCUGACCUGCAGGACGCUUUAUCACAGCCAGUCGAGCUGGCUGAUGUUUAUGAUGAUGCAUGCCUGUAGGCAUAACUUAUCCCUCAUCAUUACACUGGCCCAACAAGCCAUCACUUAUGAGGUAUCACCCUGCUGAAGCUGUGAGCAGAGGCCGGUUAGGUGCUGGUGAAAAGAUCUGCAUGGAGCGGUCAAUGGACACAACGUUCUCCCGCAACACUUCGGAUAGUUGUUCAAUCGUGGUGAAAUGCCGAUGCGGCAUCUUUGAGCUGUUAGGAGUCACUCUGGGAAGGUGUGAUGUAACAUGUAUGCCCCAAUAUCAUUAAAAGGUACUCGAGUAUCCAAAAAUAAGACCUUUUUCUGACGGUUUUACAUGAAUCAUCGCAUAAAAGUACUUAAGUUUCGCUUUGUUAACAUUACAUUUCAGCACUUUCACCUUUGCUUUUCUCCUUCACACAGAAAAAUACCUGAACCACAUUUCUCCUCCCGCGACGAUUUCCCGUCCUCGUUCACUGAUUAGUUGUCACAAACACACGUUCCAUCAGCACGCCGCUUGUGUCUCCCUCAUCACGAUGGAGAGAGGAGCAGCCAGCCCUCUUCUGCCUGAUGAGUCGUG
ensembl:lncRNA